rnacentral:rRNA from 1 species
GGAAUAUUGCGCAAUGGGGGAAACCCUGACGCAGCGACGCCGUGUGGGUGAGGAAGGCUUUCGGGUCGUAAAGCCCUGUCAGGUGGGAAGAAAUGGCUAACAGCUAAUACCUGUUAGUUUUGACGGUACCACCAAAGGAAGCACCGGCUAACUCCGUGCCAGCAGCCGCGGUAAUACGGAGGGUGCAAGCGUUGUUCGGAAUUACUGGGCGUAAAGGGCGCGUAGGCGGCCUAUUAAGUCAGAUGUGAAAGCCCACGGCUCAACCGUGGAAGUGCAUUUGAAACUGGUAGGCUUGAGUAUCAGAGGGGAAAGUGGAAUUCCCGGUGUAGAGGUGAAAUUCGUAGAUAUCGGGAGGAAUACCGGUGGCGAAGGCGACUUUCUGGCUGAAUACUGACGCUGAGGCGCGAAAGCGUGGGGAGCAAACAGGAUUA